GGCGGUGUAGCUCAGUGGUAGAGCAAGCGCCAUUGUCAUUUUACGCGCUGGGCCCGGGUUCGAUUCCUGGCGCCGUCC